rnacentral:rRNA from 1 species
CUAGCGACUUCAGAGUUUGAUCCUGGCUCAGGACGAACGCUGGCGGCGUGCUUAACACAUGCAAGUCGAACGGAGUUAAGACUUCGGUUUUAACUUAGUGGCGAACGGGUGAGUAACGCGUGAGUAACCUGCCCUUGACUUUGGGAUAACUUCAGGAAACUGGGGCUAAUACCGGAUAGGAGCUCCUGCUGCAUGGUGGGGGUUGGAAAGUUUCGGCGGUUGGGGAUGGACUCGCGGCUUAUCAGCUUGUUGGUGGGGUAGUGGCUUACCAAGGCUUUGACGGGUAGCCGGCCUGAGAGGGUGACCGGCCACAUUGGGACUGAGACACGGCCCAG